AAUCAGAAAUAAAAAUAUAAAAAUAAAACCAAAACUAAAAAUAAAAAUAAAAACAAGAAAUAAAAAAUAAUAAUAGAAAAAUAUAUAAAAAUAAUUAAGUUACGUAUAUGUAUGUCCAAACCAUGUAAAUAUUACUUUCAAACUAUUUUGAAAUUAGAAAAAUGUGUAGUAAUAACUAUUAGUUAAGUGUAAAAUAAUACAAAUAAAAUGAAAAAAAUAAAUUAAAAAAAUUAGGCGAAUAAGUAAAGAUAUGAAUGUAGCACACAUGAAAAUGAAAACUAACUGUUUUAUAAAUUAACUAAGUCGAGAUUUUAAUGGGUUUGUUUUAAUUGUAAAAAUAUUCAAAUUCAAAUUGUUUUGGUUGCAAAAUAAGAACUGAACACUAAUGAAAACACUAAAAGCGACAUGAACAGAGAAAAUAAUAAUUAUUAUUAUUGAAAAUAAAAAAAGUACAUUUUAACUAUAAUUGUUAGGAACUUACAAGUAUGAAAGUGUCACAAAAAAAACAAUUGUCACAGCAAGAAGACGCACCAAUGAGCAAAACAGCUUUAAGCUCUAUAUAUCGUCACCUAAAAUGAAAAACAACAUAACAUCGUAAUAAAUCGAAAAUCCCCGUCAGAUAAAAUAACCAAUAUAUAACCAUUUUAUAAGCAAAACUCAGAUUUUGUUUCAUUAUGAGUAUAUGCUGACCAAUAUAUAACCAAAACUCAAAUUUUGUUUCAAUAUAAGUGGUUCCUAUUAUAACGCUUUUCCUUCGCCUGUAAACUUAUGAAAAGUGAUGUUACGUUAUUUUGCAUUUUAUGUGACGAUAUACUCCAAAUAAUUACGGUAUAUUGAUGUGUAGUAAAUAAUAUAAAUAUGAGAAUGUUGUCUUGAACAAUUGCAAAUACCGCAAACGCUAUGGAAAUCGACUGCUAAACUCGUAUGUCGAAACAGGGAAAGAAAAAAAAAGCAGUUUAACUACUUUACAACUUGGUGAAAAAGCCAAAUUGCAUAUUUUAAAAAGCAGACACUAAAAGCUCGUUUCGCUAAGCCAUGAAAAAGUAGAAGAAAAUAGCAAAACAUUGGCAUUUAGAUAUACUUUUUUACCGAAAUUCAUGCCGAAACUAAACACACGCCCACAUAAACAUGAAAGAAGUAGGUACAUAUCCGCCGGAGCAAAAUAAUAUAAAACACUGCUAUAACAAUUUGAUAAUGUCUGCUUAUUAAUUAUAUUAGAUUGUCAAAUAUCGUUUGCUGUCGGUUAAAGAAAAAGCAGCGUGACUUUCUCUAGACGAUAUUCUAAAAUGCUGCUAAAUGUCAGAUCUGUAUGUGGUUGAAAUCUUAGCAAUUUAAUAAAUCGCAAAAAAUUUUGUUUAGGUGAAGCUUUAACAGCUCUACUUUAAGUUACAUGGGGUUAAUCUGGUAGGCAUAGACCAGUUUUGGUCCUUUGCAAUACCAGUUGUAGUUUAGUUGAUAGGUCCAAGAGGUGUAGUCAUCCUUUAGGAUUCCAGCACUUGACGCGAGUUUUAGCAGACUCUGCGGCCUCACCAUCGAUACCUCCACCAGUGUCUCAUACCAUGGGGACCGCAGAUGCUUACAUCGAAGUCUUACCAAUGCGGGACAAGUGCCCAAGAGUUGCUCCAUUGUUUGCCUGUUGCGUCGCUUUAGACAUGUCCUGCAGUCUUCUUGAUCUGUCAGCCCCAUUCUGCGGGCGCGCGUCCCCACCAGACCAGUUAGUAUUCCCAUCAUGUUCCUACAAUCUCUUCUAUCGAGUGUCAAUAGUAAUUAUAUGUAUUUCAGAUCUACCGUUUUCGGGUUUCCCAAUGUUGUUCACGUUUUCGGUUGUUAGCCGUGCACCAUUCUGUCGAGAUUAUCGUAUAGACAAUGCAUGGGUCUCUUAAUGUUGAUCAGGUUUUUUCGGAUGUUAGCCUUUCCUUUCUUGCCAAUCUCAGUCACUAUUUCAUUGCCAUCGAUGCCUUUGUGGCCUGGCAUCCAGUAGAACUGAAGUUGCUUACUUCUAGCAACACUUUCCACUGCUGCCCUGCUUCCCACGACACUUCUGGCCGAUAUGCGAUACGUGGUUGCUUUUUUGAUUGCUGCUUGGCUGUCUUCGUAGAUGUUGACUCUGAAACUUUUAAAUUGCCUGCUGGUUCAUUAGAGGCCAGCUUCGCGACUUUCACAAUAGCAAAGACCUCAGCUUGAAAUAUACUGCGGACAAUAUAUUCCCGCAACAACUCUAUUGUUCACUUUCGAGCCAUCCAUGUAGAUGUUUAGAGAGUUGUGGGUUGUUAACAUACCUUUACGCCAGCCAUCUUUUUCUAUGUUUACUUUGAACCUUCUUUCCCAGUUGAAAAGUGUGGUCAUAUAUUCGGUGUUUGCCCAACUGCCAUUACCCACCGAGCUUUGCUCGAAACUAGUUCUAUAUGUAAAUUUUCCUGCAGCCAGUAGUCGUCCCGCCGAUUUUGCUGCGCAGUUUUCAGCGAAGAGAUCUAUAGGCGGCAGGUUUAGUACAAGUUCAAGAGUUUUUUAUAAUAAAGCAUACAAAUAGGGUUUUUAUUUUUACUGCUACUUAAGUAAACCCUUAUUAGUUUGAGGCUGCUGCCAACUAGCGCGAGAUUUCUCAAUCACGGCUUCACAAGUGACGUGUGACACCUCACACCUUCAAUAGUUCUACACAAAUGCGGUCCAUAGGCUAUCUAUAAGAUACUGAUUUGUAGUCGAAAACCUUCUUAAUAAAGUAUACGCAAAGCAAACGUCAAUCGGCUAUAUGUAUAUAUAGUAAGUCUAGCAUGCGAGAUCGGUAAUUCAUGUCACCAGCUUUAAGCUUGACGUUUUCGUAAAACACCAACUGCGUACCAUUAAAGGUUUGGAAUUUUGUGUGAAUUUCCCUUAAGUCGUUGAAAUCAGAUGCAAUAAUAAAAUCUGCUUCCUCGAACUUCAUAAAAGUAGAGACCAGUAAUGACCAGCGUAACGAGCUGAGUCGAUUUGGUCAAGUCCUUAUGUCUAUCUGUAUACAUAUGUAUAUGCGCAGUAGUUAUCGUUUCGAAGAUAUCGUUCUGAAAUUUUGCACACAUGCUUUUCUUCUCUAGAAGCUGCUCAUUUGUCGAAACUGCCGAUAUCAGACAAAUAUAUCAUAUAGCUGCCAUACAAAUUUAACGACCAGAAUCAAGUUCUUGUAUGGUAAGCUUUUUCAUUUGACGAGUUAUCAUCACAAAAUUGUAUAUGUGCUAUUGCCCAAGGCAACGAUAUAAUCUAUAAAGAAAAUAUUCUGAUCGGACCACUAUAGCAUAUAGCUGCCAUACAAACUGGUCGGUGGAAACGCAGUCCUUGUAUGGAAAACUUUUUAAUUUGUUUUGAUAUCCAAACGAAAUUUGGCGUAGAUUAUUGUUCCAGCUAACACUACAACCUCCGAAGAAAUCGCGCUGAUCGGACUACUAUAACAUAUAGUUGCCAUACAAAGUUACGGUUUAAAAUCAAGUUCUUAUAUGGGAAACUUUUAUAUAUAUAGAGAUAUCUUCAUGAAAUUUGGCAUGAAUUAUUCCCAAAGGCAGUAAUGUAAUCUCCGAAGAAAUUGUUCAGAUCGGUUUACUAUAGCAUGUAGCUGCCAUACAAACUUACCGCUCAAAAUCAAGUUCUUAUAAGAAUUUUAAUUUUCUGUGAAGGAAAAAAAAAACAAAAACAAAACCAACAAACUAACUGUUAACAGCAAACCUUUAUAUAGGUAUAUACUAUAACUUAAUGUUCACGAAAGAAAAAAGAAAGAAAUUCCAAUUAGAAUUGCGCAGACCUCCACUACGGUGACUAAUGUAAAGCAGCCCAUUCUCUAAUAGUAAUUGAAAAAUAAUAAGUAUGUAUAAAGCGGUAUGAAAAAUCAAAAUCGUAGAAAAGAAAUAGCAAAAAAAAAGGCAAAAAAGCAACAAAUUUGACAGAAGCGGAGUUGUAAUGAGUCUGUAAGCAUUUGGCUCGUAAUGGAUACAUGCAAUUGAACAGUUCAAUAAAAUAACAAAAAAAAAUAAUUAAUAUAAAAAAUGAAGAAUAUAAAUAUAUCUAUUUGUAUAUUUUCUAUUGUGAAAUAAAGCUCACAAACGAUUUUAUGUGUAUGUAUGUAUGUACUUUUGUAUAAAUUUCAUAUUUGAAGUCUUCCUCCUGCAUUCACACACACAAGUCAAGUAACUAAGCACAUGCAACAUCAAUGAAUACAUACAUACACACUUACCAACUAACUAACCAACUAACUAAAAAUAUAUAAAUGAAUAAUUAUGUAAAGUAUAUACAUAAGUCACUUAAAUGAACCACAUGUUGCACCGUUGUUUCAUCUCACGCGAAGUUCUCACACUACACAAAUCUUUGAAAUCACAGACCGGCACAAGACAAAAGAAUUCUGCAGAAACUCUCAAGUUUGCUGUUCACCAAUAAAUAAAUGAAAAUAAUUUAAGCAAAAACAAAAUCACAUACAUAAUGAGGAUAUUUGUACUAUUAACAUAACUUAUGCGCAUACACAUACAUAUGUGCAUGCAUGCAUUUGGGUGUGUGUAUGUACAUACGAGAGUGCAUAGGAGACAAAAGAGUACCGAAAUAAUGUAAAAGACAAGUGAACCAAGUGAAGCAGAAUUCUAAUUAACAAUGUUUAUAUUAUGUGCAUACAAAAUAAAUAAUAAUAAAUAAAGAGAAUUUGUUGUAAAAACAGUUACACGUUGGUAUUAAUAGUGAAGUUAUUCCUGUAAUGGGCUAGAAACGUAUGAAAAACGAACGAAAAACGAACGAAAAACGGAAUGAUCAAAAUGUAUGUGUGUAACGCUAAAUUAAAAUAAGAAAAUAUAAAAUAAAAUUGAAAAUUAUUAUUAUUUAGAAUUAAAGCUGUCUUUUCUUAACAAGUCUUUUCGAAACAACACAGCCACGGUAUAUAUUUUUCGAUGGGCAGGACUAUGCAAAGGUCGAGCAGGCAACAAAGGAGUUGGAAACGAACUUAUAUACCUUAAGUAAUCAGCUGCUGAAGUUACCAGCUGUGUACGAUCUACUGAAAUCGACUGGUUCCAAACAUAAAUUUACUACAACUGGAGUCCCGUGUUUCACCAAGGAACUUUGAAAACAUAUAUCUUUAUGUACAUAUAUAAAUACAACUGCCAACCUUGUAGUACACCUGAUGAUCGAUGGGACUUCCAGCAACAAAUUACUAGACUAUCCAAAGUAUUCUAGCUUUCUCACAGAGAUUUGGUUAAACCGAGAGUGAUAGAACGGGUGCGGUUACUUUUAUAUAGUCUCACGCAGGAAUAGGAUUACUGUAGUGGACUAACCACUGUGGCAGAAAUAUAAACUUUUGUAAUGGAGCCCUCCUGAACUAUUACGGCUAUGAAAUUUAAUGCUCUUAACGUCUUCGACCCGGUGACCACACUCUUAGUAGGUUUCCACAUAACCACUAAAUAAGAAUGGAUGAACCAUUCCACAAUUUGGAGAAGAGCAAGAAGAACUUGUCCUCAGUAAGUUUGGUCUACAUAUAUAACAUUUAAAAAGGUUUAAACUUCAAAGACCAUCCACAUUUCAAUGUCUUGUACCGAAUUUUUGUAUCCUGGCUUAAAGCUCGUUAUGUUUAUCGUUUAACGGAGUUUUUUUGAGCUUGGGAACAUGCCGAUUCAACUUCUCCGUAAAUUCCUCAGAGUGCCAAAGCAUACGUAUCAAGUUUUCUCAAUGUAUCUUCAGUUAUCGCUUGCACGGACAGACUGACGGACAAUUAAUCAGCCAGAAUUCGACAUGUCUCGUAAUCCUGAUCAUUUAUAAAACAAAGAACCCUUACGUAUAUACAUAGAUAAUUGAAUAAUUACCAGGAAAUCGAAAGGCAUGCUAUAUUGGAGGAUACAAUCAAACUUUUGCCAUUUUAUGCUCAUCGGGUACAACAGCAGUUGCCAAAACAUUACAAAUCAUCAAGCAUCAAGUAUGUGAAAGAGCAGGUCGAGACAAGAUGGUGGUGCCGUCAUUGCGGAAGAGCUGCCGAAGUUUACGAACUUCAAGCUAAAUCAUAAAGCAAUUAAGGAAAUAUGCAUUUCAUCCCAGACGAGGAACUCGAAUAAAAAAAAUUAUUAUUGGGUUUUACUUUAA